UACGGAGGAUGCAAGCGUUAUCCGGAUUUAUUGGGUUUAAAGGGUGCGCAGGUUGUUUGAUAAGUCAGUGGUGAAAGUCUGUCGCUUAACGGUAGGAUUGCCAUUGAUACUGUUGGACUUGAAUAUGGAUGAGGUAGGCGGAAUGUGUAGUGUAGCGGUGAAAUGCAUAGAUAUUACACAGAACACCGAUUGCGAAGGCAGCUUACUAAUCCAUCAUUGACGCUGAGGCACGAAAGCGUGGGGAUCAAACAGG
rnacentral:rRNA from 1 species